GGUGGCGCCCAAACGUGGGGCUCGAGGUACGGAUUCUUCAUCGGAACGGAGACCCCCACCCCAAGGAAACCUCGGUAGUGCACACCGACAAAAAGUCUGCUCGCCGAAUUGCGACGGACGCUGGUCUGGGAAAAGUUCUCACCGCUCAUGAGUGACUGAUUCCCUGCUUGUCUGCAGAAGGAUCCGAGUGUCCUGCGUGUAUUUCUUGCUGGCGAGGAAUACAGAGCGGGCGCGGGACAUAUGGUGCCGAAACCCGGGAAUUGUUAACAUCUCCAGCACCUCGGAGACCCCUUGGCUACAAGGCGGAUUCAGAACUGCAGGAUGGUAAAUUCGGAGAGGUAUGAUUUUUCUGGACUUUGGCUAAAGAAGUCCAGAAUUACAUAUCAGAAACCGAAUGUAAUGAGAGAAAUUCGGAGAGGUAUGAUUUUUCUGGACUUUGGCUUGGGAAUGUUGCUAUUGUGGGAGGUUAAUAUAGAGGCUUCUAUGCUUUUACUAGGAAUCUUAAAGAAGUCCAGAAUUACAUAUCAGAAACCGAAUGUAAUGAGAGAAAUUCGGAGAGUAUGAUUUUUCUGGACUUUGGCUUGGGAAUGUUGCUAUUGUGGGAGGUUAAUAUAGAGGCUUCUAUGCUUUUACUAGGAAUCUUAAAGAAGUCCAGAAUUACAUAUCAGAA
rnacentral:lncRNA from 1 species